AGAGUUUGAUCCUGGCUCAGGAUGAACGCUAGCGGCAGGCUUAAUACAUGCAAGUCGAACGGUAAGUAGUGUAGCAAUACAUUACCAAGAGUGACGUACGGGUGCGUAACACGUAUGCAACCUACCUUGUACUGGAGGAUAGCUCGGGGAAACUCGAAUUAACCCUCCAUAAUAUAAUUGAAUGGCAUCAUUUGAUUAUUAAAAUUCCGAUGGUACAAGAUGGGCAUGCGUCUGAUUAGUUAGUUGGCGGGGUAACGGCCCACCAAGACGAUGAUCAGUAGGGGAACUGAGAGGUUGAUCCCCCACACUGGCACUGAGAUACGGGCCAGACUCCUACGGGAGGCAGCAGUAGGGAAUAUUGGUCAAUGGGUGCAAGCCUGAACCAGCCAUGCCGCGUGCAGGAAGAAGGCCUUCUGGGUUGUAAACUGCUUUUGCCAGGGGAUAAAAUGACCAUGCGUGGUUAAUUGAAGGUACCUGGUGAAUAAGCCACGGCUAACUACGUGCCAGCAGCCGCGGUAAUACGUAGGUGGCAAGCGUUGUCCGGAUUUAUUGGGUUUAAAGGGUGCGUAGGCGGCCCUGUAAGUCAGUGCUGAAAUCCCCCGGCUUAACCGGGGUGGUGGCAUUGAUACUGCAGGGCUUGAGUACAGAUGAGGUAGGCGGAAUUGACGGUGUAGCGGUGAAAUGCAUAGAUAUCGUCAAGAACACCGAUAGCGAAGGCAGCUUACUGGGCUGUAACUGACGCUGAUGCACGAAAGUGUGGGGAUCAAACAGGAUUAGAUACCCUAGUAGUCC
rnacentral:rRNA from 1 species